rnacentral:misc_RNA from 1 species
GAUGAAGAACGUAGCGAAAUGCGAUAAGUAAUGUGAAUUGCAGAAUUCAGUGAAUCAUCGAAUCUUUGAACGCACCUUGCGCUCUUUGGUAUUCCGAAGAGCAUGCCUGUUUGAGUGUCAUGAAAAUAUCAACCUUGACUUGGGUUUUGUGCUCUAGUCUCGGCUUGGAAUUGGGUGCUUGCCGCUUUUACGAGCGGCUCACCUUAAAUGUAUUAGCUGGAUCUGUCUUUGAGACUUGGUUUGACUUGGCGUAAUAAGUAUUUCGCUAAGGACAUUCUUCGGAGUGGCCUCGUUUCUAGGACGCUUGUCCGCUUUCCAAUACAAGUUCCACCUCGUGGACAUGACUUUUUAUUAUCUGGCCUCAAAGCAGGUAGGACUACCCGCUGAACUUAAGCAUAUCAAUAAGCGGAGGA